CUCAUGCCUGCUCCCCUCCCACAGCUGGGGAGGGAACCUAGCUGACUCCCAGCCUCCCCUCCCAUUCUAAACACUAGCCCCAGUGACAAUCCCUCCUCCCUGAAGUGUCACCCAAGCCCCCAACUGCUGCAGCAACCAAUGGGGGACACAUGCAAGGGGAGCAAGAGAGCAUGAAGACUGGCUCCCCCCCCACCCCCCAAAUUUAUUAACUGUGCCCCUGGAGGUUUGUUACUGCAGGGCUCCCAGCCCGCUUGUGGGCAGGGGCUUUGUGCUGAUUGGCUUGUUAUGGUAGGGUUGCUGGAUGGUUUGUUAUGGUAGGGGGUUGCUGGCCAGGUCAGGGGGUGCAGGUCGGUUUGUUAUGGUAGGGUUGCUGGCCAGGUCGGGGGGUGCAGGUCGGUUUGUUAUGGUAGGGUUGCUGGCCAGGUCGGGGGGUGCAGGUCAUUUUGUUAUGGUAGGAUCGCUGGAUGGUUCGUUAUAAUAGGGUUGCUGGCCAGGUUGGGGGGUGCAGGUUGGUUUAUGUUAGGGUUGCCGGCCAGGUCAGGGGGUGCAGGUCGGUUUGGCCGGCCAGGUCAGGGGGUGCAGGUCGGUUUGUUAUGGUAGGGUUGCCGGCCAGGUUGGGAGGUGCAGAUUGGUUUGUUAUGGUAGGGUUGCAGGCCAGGUCGGGGGGGUGCAGGUUGGUUUGUUAUGGUAGGGUUGCUGGCCAGGUCAGGGGGUGAAGGUCAGUUUGUUAUGUUAGGGUUGCUGGCCAGGUCGGGGGGUACAGGUCCAUUUGUAAUGGUAGGGUUGCUGGAUGGUUUGUUAUGGUAGGGUUGCUGGCCAGGUGCGGGGUGCAGGUCGGUUUGUAAUGUUAGGGUUGCCGGCCAGGUUGGGGGGUGCAGGUCGGUUUGUUAUGGUAGGGUUGCUGGAUGGUUUGUUAUGGUAGGGUUGCCAGCCAGGUAGGGGGUUGCAGGUCGGUUUGUUAUGGUAGCGUUGCUCGCCAGGUCGGGAGGUGCAGGUUGGUUUAUGUUAGGGUUGCCAGCCAGGUCAGGGGGUGCAGGUCGGUUUGUUAUGGUAGGGUUGCUGGAUGGUUUGCUUUGGUAGGGUUACUGGCCAGCUUGGACAGAGGAUUUCAAGGAAGUUUGCUAGGGUGAGGUUGCAGGACAUUGUGUGGAAGGCAUGGGGGCAGCAUGGUGGGUGCGGUGGGAUCAAUCCAGCGGUGCUGGUGUGGGCUCCACGCUCUGGGGCUGCAGUGCUUAGGGCCAGCA